UCUGUCUCUCAAAAAUAAAUAAAUGUUAAAAAAAAUUUUUUAAAUAGUCCAUAAAUAAAAUAAAAAAAAAAUAGUCCAUAACAAGAAAGAAAAGUUGGGGGGUGAAAGGUGAAACAAGAUGGGGAACACACGGAUUAUGACUCAAAUCAUAGGAGGUUUUCACACGCUUCUAUUUUUGCAUGUGUGUGAAGUUUUUCUAUAAUAAAAAGGGAAGUAAUAACACAUCAUGUAUCUGGUUUCGGGGGUGGGGGGGGACAACAGUGGGGGAUCCUGGGCAGAAGCGGGCCAGACGUGACUGCCAGAGUCCAGGCUAAAAGCCGUCAACAUGGCCAAAACUGGAUGCUGACAACACCAAGUGUUGACAGGACAGUGGAGGGACUAGAACUCUCUCAUCCGCCGCUGCUGGGUGUAAAACAGUUUGCCACAGGCCUUCGGUCUCAUGAAGUCGUGCGCUUCACACCCAGCCCAGCGACCCCACUCCUGGACGUUUCCCCGAGAGGAAGAACACAUAACGUCUGCGCAAAGACAGAUCUGUUGGCAAACGUUGGCGGCGGCUUCGCUGUGAUCUCCAAACCGCUGGAAACACCCCAAACGUCCACCAGCAGGGGGGCACAGAUGAACAAGCCGGGGUCCGUUCACCCCGCGGCCUGCCGGGCAGCAGUGAAGGAGGCAAAUCUGACCAUGGAAGGUGAUGCCAACCCCGGUGUGAAGGCGGCGGUGUGAGCAGUGGGAUUCCGAUUUCAGCUCUGAGGCAGAGUCCACAGGCCGUGCAGGGGCCCCUUGCAAGCCCCUGGUCGCCCCCAGUGGAGUGGACAUCCUACACCCGCGCGGGACAACGGAUACGACGAAGCCACAGAUAAGGGCACAUGGGUAACUUAAAAUUCCCCAGCAUCCACGUUUUCAAAAGUGGAAAAUAAAUAGAUGCAAUUAAUUGUAA